rnacentral:rRNA from 1 species
UACAGAGGUCUCAAGCGUUGUUCGGAUUCAUUGGGCGUAAAGGGCGCGUAGGCGGCACGGCAAGUCAGGAGUGAAAGCCCGGGGCUCAACCCCGGAAUGUCUUUUGAAACUGCCGAGCUAGAGUGCGGAAGAGGCAACUGGAAUUCCCAGUGUAGCGGUGAAAUGCGUAGAUAUUGGGAAGAACACCUGAGGCGAAGGCGGGUUGCUGGGCCGACACUGACGCUGAUGCGCGAAAGCCAGGGGAGCGAACGGG